AGUUUCAAGAGUGUAUAUUUUUGUUGUUGCAGUUAAAAAGCUCGUAGUCGAAUUUCGGGACUGUUCCUUGUGGUCGCUCCAUGUGGGUUGUACUGGGAGGGGGGUUCUUACCUCUUGAUGAACUGUUGUGUCCUUUAUUGGAUGGAGCAGGGAAGCAAGACUUUUACUUUGAGAAAAAUAGAGUGUUUAAAGCGGGCGAUUGCUUGAAUACAUUAGCAUGGAAUAAUAGAAUAGGAUUUUGGUUCUAUUUUGUUGGUUUGGGAGCCAAAGUAAUGGUUAAUAGGGAUAGUCGGGGGCACUAGUAUUCAAUAGUCAGAGGUGAAAUUCUUGGAUUUAUUGAGGACUAACUACUGCGAAAGCAUUUGCCAAGGAUGUUUUCAUUG
rnacentral:rRNA from 1 species